rnacentral:piRNA from 1 species
UCGUUGAGUCUCACAUACCCCGCGCGCCC